AUGAUCAUGAGACGGAGGGGUCAAAGGUCAGAGUCUGAUCCUGAGCUGUUGCCAUGAUGUCAGAAGACUAACCUCAACCAGCAGGUCAAAGCUUACAUCAUCCCGCCAGCAGGUGGCGACAAAUCACUGUCUGUGAGCGAGUCAUUUGAUUCAUUGACUCAACCGAUUCAUUCCGGAACGAAGCACCUGCGUGUUUUGGUCAUUCUGCGGUGGAUUCGUUUGGAACUGUUUAAAGUUACACUCACAUCAUCCCGCCAACAGGUGGCGACAAAUCACUGUCUACGAGCGAGUCAUUUGAAUCGUUGACUCAACUGAUUCGUUUAACCGGAACGAAGCACCUGUGCUUUCUGUUCGGAUUCUUUUGGAAAUGUUCGCGCUGGAGUGAAAAACGGACGAACUCGUACAUGACGGCCAACAUGAUGGAGGAGAUCCAGGCCACCUGACUGUACGAGGCGUCGAAGAUCCUCUGGAUGUCUUUAAAGAACACCGUCGUGGCCUUCGGGAAGGCGUAAGAGAAUCCGAUGGAGAUGAA